GGAGCCGCGCGCACGUUGCUGCCGGGACCCGCCGCGGCGAUGAGCAGCUGCAUCUGUCGAGGCCGCUUAGUCCUUUUCCGUCGGUGGAGACGCUGGGACCCGGGCCUGGGACACGUGGGCGCCCAGGGCCUCGCCGCAGCGCAGCGCCCGAGACGCACAGGUGGUGCAAGGUUGGCCCUGUUUGUGACAUCUUGGUUCUGUGAAAUGACCAGAAGUUGGGCUGAAUCCUGGAAAUGUGGGAUGAAAAUGCCUCAGUGUUGGCAGAGAGUCUGGUUGCUGAGCUGCUGGAUAAGCAUCGGCCGGGUUCCCCCAGAGAGCCACCGGUCGCGGCCAUGGUUCCUCCAACAGGUCAGAACCCCCAGGUGUUCCAAGGGGGCUUGGGGCACCACUGUCAAGCUAACUCCAAAGGCAGAGGUCUGAACCCUUAGCGUGUUUACAUUUGUGGAGAGGAGCUGGGGGCCUGCGGGAAGUGGUCAGACAGGAGAAGCUGGCUGGCUCUUGACUUCAAGAAGGAAAGAGAAGGGGCGCCUGGGUGGCUCAGUGGUUGAGUGUCUGCCUUUGGCCCAGGGCGUAAUCCUGGGGUCCUGGGAUCAGUCCCACAUGGGGCUCCCUGCAUAGAGCCUGCUUCUCCUUCUGCCUGUGUCUCUGAUUCUCUGUGUCUCUUAUGAAUAAAUAAAUCUUUAAAAAAUAUGUAAUUGCCA
rnacentral:lncRNA from 1 species